UUUCCUGGGCAAUUUUUCUCUUAAAUUGUUUGGAACAACGGCUUCAAUUACGAGAAUUGUGUUAUCGAGAAUUGUAUUACGAGAAUUGUAUUAUCACGAGAAUUUUAUUAUCACUUCUGUGGUGUGCUUUACUACACACGUGUCAACGAUAGAGAGUGAAUGCUCUGUAAUUGCAAAAGUUUUAGUGAGAUGGCGAUGUUUUUUAAACAAACUAGAAAUUUUAUUCGAAAGCGUUACUGAAAGUGACCGGAAAGAACUAUUGAGUAGCAACUGUGUUUUUGCCGACCGAUUUCGACUGCUUCAAAGAAAGCUUGCACAAUGGCUAUUGAACUGACCGUUUCUUUGUACGACUUCGUCUGUCAAAACAUAUUGGCUCCUUUUCGUUCUCUCAACAUAUCAGAUAAGGACUCGCAUUCAAUUGUUGGCGAAUUGAUUCUAAUCGAAAGCUCCGACACUGUAAAAGAUCCCUUAACCCCUGCUGUAAGAAAAAGAGCGAUUAACAACUUAGUUCCGGAACCAAGAGCUAAAGCUGUGAGAAAAGUGUCGACUGUCAGAGGUGGUUUCAAUGUCUUAGAAAAAGACUUGAAGACCUUGAAUUUGAUUCCGACAAUUGCUGAUGGAGACUUUUCGUGUAAGAUGUGUCCAUACGUAGCUUCGAGAAAAGACCAUUUAAGGACACAUUAUCAGCUGAAACAUUUCGGGGGUGGAGAUUUAUUGAUGCAGUGUCAAAUUUGUAGUGUCAAAUUGAAGACUAAAUCAUAUAUGAAGAAACAUUACAUCAGUAAGCAUAAAUUGACAGAUGUAGCCGCUGCAAACAUGGCAGAAUCAUCAGGACUGUUCUAGAGAAUUUCAAACGACCCAAAUUACUGACUGAUGAAGUUACAUGGUUUCAUAUUUUAUUCAUUGAGCUUCUUUUAUUUACAAGACUGAGGGUCUAUACCAAUGAAAUUUAGCUUAUAUCGUUUUG